GUCACAGCCAGCGCCUGGCGGGCUGACCCAGGAGGGGCCUCCGGCAUUCAGAACCGCAGGGCCAAGGCCACUGCUCCGGAACAAAGGGAGGAGCGUGUUUACAAAUUGUCUGUUGAAAUUUAAGUUGCCAACAUUGGCAUCAGGCCUCGCCUGCCAGGCCGCCCGGAUCGGAGGGUAAUUUAUGAAGAUUGCUUUACCUGGGGCCGCGCUGGUCUGUGCCUGCGAGUAAUUCACACCAGGCUCAUUUCGGAUGCAGUCAAAGACCCCCGUAUGUCACUAUGACAAUGUAAUCACAGAGCCACAUUAAAAAGUCAUUAUUGUUUAGAAUCCAGCUUGGUUUGAAAAACACUUACUAUAAAAUUCAACAGCCUUUGUAAAUUACCGAAAGGUUUACUCAAGAAUACUAGGUGCCGUGAUUUAGACGGGGAACUUACCACUUUAUUGAUUCUGUGGGGUUUUGCCGGUUCCCGCAUUUAUGGGGAAUGAUUAGUGAGUAAUCAGAGUAAUAAACCCCUCCGUGUUGGUUCGUAAAUAAUGAUGAAUUGGGUCUGUGUCCUCAGACUUCCCGUGCAACUUGCUCCCGCUCGGAGUCUGGGCUUCAACUUUGGGGCCGUUCUGCAGAGCCGUCUGGAAAUCAGUCAUCUGCCGGGCGAGGGAAGUUCUUACCCGUCUCUUUUGGCCAGAUGGCCAUUGCCGUGAGAGCAGUCAUGCCCUUGGCCCGACUCCGCAGAGAUCACACCUGGAAUUUCCAGGGAAGCCAGAGGUCCGCUGUGGCUUGUAGGAGUUGCCCUUUAACACAAAGCGAGCGCCAGCAGGGACAGAGAGAGAGGGAGAAUCCGAAGCAAGCUUCCCGCUGUCAGUGCAGAGCCCGACUCGGGACUUGAACUCACAGACCGGGAGAUCAUGACCUGAGCCGAUACCAAGAGUCGGACGCUCAACCAGCUGAGCCAGCCAGGCGUCCCUGCAGAUGCUGUAUUUCGAAAAGGAGAAUUAACGGGAAAAUGUGAGAACCAGAGGAUCUCACAUAAUCUCAUGAGAUCAGAUGUCCUCUCUUUUCAGACAAGAAGCAUCUAGAAAUGGAGAGGGAAAACAGCCUCUUCUCCAUAGUGGGGAAGCCAGGAGCAGCGCAGGGGUAAGGGCGGAAGGGAAGAGCUGCCACCCCUCUCCCGUCCCUGCGGUCCAGCCCUGGGGUGGCCGUGCCCAUCUGGCACGCCCUCCACCGCCCUGCCCUCCCUGCGGUGUCUCCCCUCCCCAGUCCCCAGCAUUACACGCCCUCUGCCUGAAAGACCUGGAGUGGUUCCCCCCCCGCCCCGACCCGUGUGAGGAGAGUGUAGCAUCUCAUUUAAGGACGCAGAACAGACAUUCCGCUGUCCGGGUAAGAACUCUGGAGAUAAACGGAGCCAUUCUACGGAGACUGAUGUUCCACCGUAAUACAGUUUGAUUAGAUCCCCAGCAGGCCUGAGGGCUUUGUUGCUGUCUUAGGUAAAAGUAUUUUGAAGUUUACAUGAUAAGCGUCACGCGCUGAAUGUUCCCCCCUCCCCCAUCUGCAUGUUGAGGCCGUAACCCCUCCUGUAAUGGUGUUUGGAGGUCAGGCCUUUCGGAGGGGAUUUUAGACGAGGCCCCGUGAUGGCGUCAGUGCCCUUGUAAGAAAGGCUCUCCCUGUCCGCCAGCUGAGGACCCAGCGGAAGAUGCCCGCCAGCUGGGAGCGGGGCUUCCUCACCAAAAGCCAGCCGUGCGGGCACCUGAUCCCAGACUUUCAGCCCCCCCCCCGCCCCCCCCCCCCCCGUCUAGGGGGCAAUGGCAGCACAAGCCAGCUGACUCAGGAGUAGACAAGAGCCCCAGUGGCACAGCCAGCCAGCACUGGUGUAGGAGAAGAGGCACCACAGCACGGCCCCAGCCUCAUGAGAGGCCGGACAGUAACGCGAGACCAGGGCCCUCGUUCCGGCACAAGAGGAAGCACCUUGUCACGCGUGGGGCCGGGACAGCCAGCUGCACCCAGCAGCACAUAAAAGGGAGGCCGCCCCGCAUCUUAAUCGAAAACAAAUUCAAGAUGUGUUAGAGACUCUGAUGUAAAAUAAAGUAAAAUAAAGACACUGCCAGGAAGUCUGGGAGACCGCGAGCGGCCCAGGCAGGAGCGAGGAGUCCUUACAACGCAGGAGGCACUUAAAAGAAAUUCUAAAUAUGCCAGCCACUCCUGCACUGUUGGUGGGAAAGGAAUCCAGGGACACGGGCUCAAGGAACUCCUGCGUGUGGCCUCAGCCCCCACGUCCCCGGCCGCACCCGUCCGCCCUGCUGCCCCACACGGGACCGGCCCAGGGCCCCGAACCGCAUCUACUUGUGAGUCCUGGAGGCUGGGAGCCCGAGGUCCAGGCGUGGGCACAGCUGGGUCCUCCCGAGGCCCCUGUCCUGGGCGUGUGGACGGCACCUGCUCCCCCUGUCUUCACGAGGUCUGUGUCCAGAUUUCUUCCUCUUAUAAGCACACCAGUCGUGUUGGAUUAGGAUCCACCUUAAUGCCCAUAUUUAACAUAAUCGCCCCUUGAAAGACUCCGUCUCCCAAUACAGUUGGGGUCUGGGCUGUCCUGAGGGUCAGAGCGUCACCGUGCGAACGUGACGAGGGCUCAGCCCCUAGCACAGCCUUGGGCUUUGCUUCCAUAGAAUCGCCAACCUCAUGUGUUAAGGGCUGUUUCCGCUCGUGGCCUGGCUCAUAGAGGCGGGAAAAAGCACCUGAAAACGGAGAACUAGGAGACCCACAGGCAAGUGGUCACACGAAUAGGGUCAGGUCCACUGUGACGUGGAACAGCUUCCUUUGGGAAAGAGCCUGAGCUCGGCCGGGGGGCCCGGAGGGGAGGUUUGCUUCGUCCUCCCCGGGGUUGUUGAGAUAGUCAGCAACACGUACCACUGUGCGGGUUUAACCUGGGCGCUGGGCGGGAUCGAUGCAUAUAUUCUGAGAACUCCUCGCCACAGUGAGGUCGGUUAACACACCCUUCGCCUCACGUAAUUACCGUUUCGUUGUUGUCAUGGUGGUGCCACGUCCACAGCAGCGUCGAACAUACAACACGGUAUUGUUAACGCCAAACACCGUGCUGUACGUGAGAUCCUUGGACACUAACCAUCUUAGAACCGGGGAAGUUUUUUUUUUUUUUAUGUUUAUUUAUUUAUUUUGAGAGAGACAGAGACAGCGCAAGUGGGGGUGGGGCAGAGAGAGAGAGAGAGAGAGAGAGAAUCCCAAGCAGGCUCCACACCGUCCAUCCGUCCGUGCAGAGGGCAACUCGGGGCUUGAACUCACGAAACGGAGAGAUCACCACCUGAGCUGAAACUGAGAGUCGGAUGCUUCACUGACUGAGCCAUCCGGGCGCCCCAUAACGGGAAGUUGUAUCCUUUGUAUCCACCUCUCCCCAUUUCCCCCACCCCCCACUGCCUGCCCUCUGCUUCUAGGAGUUCGGUUUCUUAAGAUUCUACAUAGAAGUGAGAACAUACAAUAUUUGUCUUUUUCCAUCUCGCUUGUUUAACUUAACAUAAUGCCCUUGAGAUGCAUCCACGUUGCCUCAAACAGCAAGAUUUCCUUUUUCGUGGCUGAAUGAUAUUCCUGCAUGAGUGUGUGCGUGUGUGUGCGUGUGUGUGUGUGUGAUCUCACAUCUUCUUUAUCCAUCUGUUUUGUAUGUUAAUGUCUUGGCUAGUGAAGGUCAGAUAUCUCUUUGAGACAGUGACUUCAUUUCCUAUGGAUGUGCACCCAGAAGGGAGACUGCCAGAUCCUAAGGCGGCUGUCCUGUUGUUUGAAGACUCUUCAUUCUGUUUUCCACAGCAGCUGCGACAGUUUGCAUUCCCACAUUCCCACCGAUGAAGAGUGCCCGAGGGUCGUUGCUUCUCCACAACGCGGCCAGCAUUUAUCCCUUUCUGGCAACAGCCAUUCUAACAGAUAUAAGGUGAGAAAGGUCUCAUUGUGGUUUUGGUUUGCGUUUUCCCGAUGAUGAGUGAGGUUGAGCACCUUUUCAUGGGCUUACUGGCCAUUCCGAUGUCUUCUGUGAAAACAGGGAGGCUUUGGCCCGUUUUAGUCGGAUUGUUUUCGCUUCGUCGUCGCCGUCGAGCUGUAUAUUUAUGUCUUUGGGGCACCAAGCCCUUGUCGGAGACAGGGUGUGCGAACAUCUUCUCUCAUUCCGUAGGCUGCCUCUUCAUUCUGUGUAUCGUUUCCUAGUUCGAUGUGGUACCUCCCGUUCUUGGUGCCUCUGUUGUGGGUGCUCUUGCUGUCGCAUCCAGAGAACAUCAGGGAGGCUGGACAGGAGGUCCGGGUGACGGCCGGGAUUAACCCGAGUUCAUCGUGGGGCUCUCCUGGGCCACCAGGACCCCGUCUGCUGAGGGGCACACCCCGCCCCCCUGCUGGGGACCCCGUUCUCCCCGCAGCCCCCAGGCAGGUGGGCCGGACAGCGGGCGGCCUCCCCGUCCCUGGCAGGCUCGUCUGGCGGGUGGAGCGGGGGGUUGGCCAAGUCAGGGCGGGGGCCGGCCGGGCUCCCAGCAAGGCUGCCCUUCCAAGCUGGGUGGGGCCUGGUCCCCGAGCGGUGUAACUGGGCUGCCCUCCCUGCCCCGUCUGCCGCCCUGUCCUUCUGGACACCCGGCUGUGGCUCCCUCCGCUGGGGACGGAUGUACGGGUCAUCUGCAGCUCACACAACACAAGUGGAUCAUCUCCCGCUUCCCGCGCUGGGGACCUCGUGUGGGUACACGUCCUCUGCUCAGCUCGCAGGGCUGCGGUCCCUGUGUCAGGGCCGCGCUCCUUCCUGCAGCCCCGGGGGCUGUCAAGGUCGUGGUGGAGGCCAGAGGAGUCCGCUCUCCGCUUUCCUGUGGGCUGCGGGCUGAGGACCGCUGUGGGCUCCCAGAGGCGGCUACGGACUCUGCCACGUGGCUUCUGUGGGCAGCUCACAACAGCCCUGUUUGCUUCUUUCAGGCUGCAGGGGGUGUUUCUGGUUCCUCACCUUCUACAAAGGCCCCCUGGGUAGGUCAGGUGCCCCCAGGGGUGGGCACGCCAAGGCAGGACCUUGGGGUCCCUGAGAAUCCUCAGUGGGGGGAAGACAGUCCAGAGGAGGGAAGAGACCGGGGACGAGGACGGCCCCCAAGAAAGAAACAGAGGCCGGGGAUGCUCGUCCCUCUGAGCCUCGUGGCCUCAGAACCAGUCUCUGCCCCUCCCCCGACCCUGGGGUCCCAGCCCAGGGGAGAGGUGGGGCUGCCAAACGGCUUUCCUGAAAUGCAGCACUGACCGGGCCACCGUCGGUGUCCUCCAGCAGACGGCCAGACCCCUGACCUCGGCAGACGGGCCCCGGGCCACUCCCAGGAGCCGGCAUCCACACGUGGCCACAGGCCUCGGCCGCCGGCGCUCUCUGGGCCAUGGGUGAGGCGGGGUGUUAGCAGGUUCUUCACUUGCACAGACUUGACCAGCAUCCCGUUCCUGCUCAGGGGGCACACUGGAGGCUUUGCACACCCCCCACGCACGGGAGACCGCGGUGUCCCCCGCCCGGCCCCCUCCCGCAGCCCUGUUGACCGGGAAAUGUCCGGGAAGGCUCUCGCAGCCAGAGGUCGCCAGGCCGCCUGCUUCCCCCAGUCACAGCCUCAGCUCCUCGGGGGACACCCCGUGCCCACCCCCGGGUCCCCUGGACCGGCCGAGGCUGGCCCCUCCAGGACACUCAGGGGGCCUUCAGCCUCCGUUCAGGCCAGACCCCUCCCAGUGCACGUCCAGCGUGCCAGCCUCUGGUGCCGGGGCCCUAACCGGCCUCAAAGCCAGCAGGCCUCUUCCGCCGUGAGAGGGACGAGGCGAGGGCGCGCGUGAAUCCAGCCCAGGCGGCCCCUCUCUGCUGCCUCGGGGGGGAGGGCGGCGUGGUGCGGGUGCAGACAGGGGUUUUGUGUCGGGACGGGAGGGGUUCUUCCUCCCUCCCCCGGAGAACGGCUUCGACCCUGGGUCAGAGGCCGGCACUCAGGCCACGACACAGGGUUCAUGUGGCACCUGUGCCCCCCGUGGAGACCCGGGAGGGCUGAAGCCACGCCCACGGCAGGCCGUUCCCAGCGGCCCACGGGUGGGAACGACACAAACGAUGCGUAAACAGACGGGGAUGCCUCCUUGCGCUGGGGUCGUUUUCCCGGUGAAAGGAAUGUGGGGUCGACACGCUGGGACGCGGAUUGAAGACGUUACGGUCCGUGGAAGAAGCCGGUCACGAAAGACCACAGACUAAGUGGCUCCUUGAACGUGAAGUGUGUGGAACAGGCAGGUCUGUAGAGACGGAACGUGGGUUAGUGGGGGCGAGGACAGGGGUGUGAGGGGAGUGACAGCAAAGAGAGAAGGGGUUUCUCUCGGGGGUGACGAAAAUGUUCUAAAAUUAGAUUGUGGCGGAGGUCUGGUCGCACAACUCUGUAAAUAUACCAAAAACUGUCUCGCCUGUCGUUUGAAAGAAACAGCAGAGCCCUAUUCUGCAGACAAGAAAGCUGCGGCUCAGAGGGGCUGCGAGAAAGCCGUCUUACCCUCUGCGGACGCUUGGGAAGGGCCACACCGGCUUCGGCCGCCCACUCAGGAAGCACGUGACGGGCCUGGGUCACAUCAAGCCCCAGAGCCCCGCUCCCUGGGCAGGCAGGGUGCGCCAGAGGACACAGGGAGGCAUGGCAUGGGGACCCUGGACCAACCCCGGCCACCGCUGCCCUGUCUGUGCGUCUUCUCCUUGUUAAGGCGUCACGGAGACAGCGCCCUUCCAGGCACCGGGGACCCACCAGGUGGAAAAAAAAAAACCCUAAAAGAUGGAUCCAGAAUCUCCCAGGACACUUCGUGCCAAGGCCUCUGGUUUUUUCUAUUUCAUUUGCUCACUUUUAGGCAAAUGGGCAGGAUGCCGUGGGGUCCCCAGCCGGGGGCUGACCUCACCUUGUUGCAGUUACAAGCCCAGGGGGGCUGUGGCUCCGGGCUCCCCCCUCGCUGCAGCCGCAGGACGAGGGGCUGACGGCUCCCACCUCUGGUAACGGAGGUUCCUCCGGAGACGGUCAAAUCCCGCCACGGGCUGAACGAAGCCACUGAAUCCCGGGGCUGGACAGCGAGCCCCGUGCCGUGAGACAUGGCUCCCCGACAGCCCUGGGGGCCUGCCUGCACCUAGACAGACGGACAGACAGACGGCCGCACCUCGGCUCCCCGGAGACACGGAGACGAGCCACUUCCCGCUGUCGCUGCAGGUGCCCCAGGCCUGGGCAGGCGCCCUGGAGCCUCUGCCCUGUUUGCCACGGGAAGCCUGGAGGAUUGGAGCCCUGAGCACGGAAGACAGAGGUGUGGUUUGUCUGGCUGAGUCAUAGACGCCCCACCGCCCUUACGUGUUCCUGUCCGGCCCCACGGCAGAAUCAGCCUCUCCGCGCCGAUGGACCCGGCACGACCCAUAAGUGAGGAAGGCCUCCUACCUCUUUUAACGUGGGCACUCCUGGGGACCCAGGACUUACGUGUUAGACGUGUUUAACGAUCAGCCAGUACCAUAAUUGGGUAUAAAAAUCUCACUGUGCCGUCAUAAAAUAACAUGGAACGAAUAAUAAAGUAUCAUAGUUAUAAAGUCAUCAAAAUGUAAUAAAAUGGUGUUAUU